UACGUAGGGGGCAAGCGUUGUCCGGAUUUAUUGGGCGUAAAGAGCGUGUAGGCGGCCAGGUAGGUCUGCUGUGAAAACUCGAGGCUCAACCUCGAGCUGUCGGCGGAAACCAUCUGGCUAGAGUCCGGAAGAGGAGAGUGGAAUUCCUGGUGUAGCGGUGAAAUGCGCAGAUAUCAGGAAGAACACCCGUGGCGAAGGCGGCUCUCUGGGACGGUACUGACGCUGAGACGCGAAAGCGUGGGGAGCGAACAGG
rnacentral:rRNA from 1 species